AACAGCUUCCUGCUAUUGCCAACUGCUGGGUGCCUCAACAUCCUUUGUUGGUUUCCUUAAACUUGUCCGCAUCUCUGUAAAUCAUCCUUUACUAAAUAGCCCUUCAUCUGAAGCGUCAGUAUGAAUGCCGUUCCUGCCAGGACUUUGACCAGUGCACAUGCAAUGCAGUGGAAUGCAGCUGAAAGGAGUGUUGACACCAGAUUCAAAUUUAGAAAGCAUUUGAAAGCAUGGUCUAAUAAUGUCUCCAUGGAAGAGGAAGAACGUGCUGACAAAGGAAGUGACGAAGCUCCCCAGGACCUGGUGCACCCCAUGUCUCCUGCAGGGUGACUGCUAGCUGGCAAAGCCUGUCCCUGUGUUGUAGGUCAGAUUCUCCAGAGGGAGAAGCAGACGGGCCAGAAGCUGGGUCAGGUAGGCAACCCUGUGGCAGAGGGGAGGGUGGCCCAACCCACAAGUGCAGUGACCCAUGGGCCCAGAACAAAGACACACUUUACCCACACCCAGGCAUGUGACAGAGUGGACUGGGCAUCUAAGUCCACCGGGGGAAACAGCAGGAAACAGAACAGAUGGUUGGGCUUACAUUCCGGUGGGGAGUUGGACAACACACGAGUAGAUCCAUAAAGUGAUCUCUGAGAGUGAUCUGUGCCGCCAAAAAAGGAAGACAGGGUCCUGCGACAGGGCUGACUGUGAAGCCUCCUUAGCCAGGCUGGACAGGGAUGCUCUCCCAGGAGCCUGCACUGGAGACUAGUGUGUCCCACCAGACUUUCACGCGGCCUGCGAGUGCUCAGCAAUGGUGACAACAGGGUCUCUACUCCAUGAAAAACCAUCCACAGACCCGAAAGCACUGCUUUCAUUUCAUGGUUCUGCACAUUUUCUCCAGCCUCUGUGGUGAAAGAUUAUUUCAUUGCCUUCAACAGAAGGCGUAUUUGUGUGUGUACAUAUGCUUGAGAGAAAUUUACUGAAAAGAUGUGGGUACGAGACCAGCUGGCUGCACUUGCCACGCCAGGAUCCUCUCUCAGCAAUAUGCCCAAGAGCUCGUGUUUGCAAUGCUCGAGUCCCAGCCAGGGGAGACACGGGUGUAAGGGACCCACAGGGGAACAUUUGUGUUGACUCGGAGCUCCGCAUGCCCCUUCAAAGGAGGGGAGAACCUUGGAGGGAGGAAAGGACUGAAGACUUUCCAGGGAAAUUUAAGAGUCUCAGGCAAUUAGUCAGAUCCAGAGUAUAGAUUCCAUAUUCAGAAGCAGAAGAGGGAAAUGCAGUUUUUUGGGGAUCUCUCUCUCCUAGUCUCCUUCUGAAAAGCGCUUUUCUAAGACCUCAAUUCCUAUACCUCCUCAAUGGGUAUGAUUCCUACCACUUUUUCAUAAGUAUAGUUUCCUUCAAAGUUUAAAAUUUUUGUAGAUCUUCAAGUAUGUAAGGCGUAGUAGUGCUAAACAGAGGUGGAAGUAGUGAAGGGAGUUUUGAACAUAAAAACAUAAAUCGCAAGGUGAUG